rnacentral:lncRNA from 1 species
UGCAUAGAUAACUCUUUAUCCGGAUGCUUCUCUAAGCAUAUUGCAGUGACUUGAUCUCUAAGUUAUGUGGGCUCACCUGACAAUUAUUGACCAUACUUUUUAGUUAAGCCCGACCCACCAUUCACUAGUAGGUACAAAGCCAUCAUUAGAUCCCUCACUUGACAGUUAUUGGAUCCAACCCUAUCUUUACCUGGAGUAAUUUUUUGCUAAUAGAGUAGUUGUAUGUUCUCAGUACAACUAAAUCACUGUGACCAACCGAGAAUAAUCAACACUAGUAGCAUGCCCGCAUAUCUACAAUGGUGGAAGAGCUCUAGACUUAAUAUUCAUAGAGAGAUUUGGUUUGGAUCUCAUCUAAUCAGUUAUCAAAUGACUAAUCUAAUUGACACGGGCUAAACCAAACCGCCAAGUAACUAUAUUCAAAACACAAUCUUCUAAAUUGGUCAAGUAAGUGGAGAUUGGUGGGAGGCUCCCCCUUGAUGGAUCAAGGGUCCUAAUUGUUGGGGUAAAUCCCUCAAUUAUGGAAUACAGAUCAUCCAUCCAUGAUCACAAUAACGUCCGAGAAGCAGAUCUUGACACCACACGAGAAAAAGAAGAAGAAGAAAUAACAAAUAAACAUAAUAAAAAUACGUGGAUCGAUCUCAAGCCUAUCUCCAUGGGGCAUGCAAGCUUCACUAUAAGAGAAAUAAAAUAAAAAAAUAUAAGAAAAAUUUACUAUUCAACCCUUAUACAAGAGUUUCUUAACAAAAAAUCCUAAAAUUCUCAUAAAAGUUCUCUGAAAUCUCUCAAGAAGCUUCUCUGUACGAUCAGGAUGUCACCAGCUAUCCAACGCAAUAAACAGAUCAUCAAUUAGAAUUUUAUGGUCUCCAAAAAUUCUAAAACAGUAUUUCACUAAGAGAUCAAGUCCAAAUCAAAUCUCAGAUUCCAUCCAGAUCGUUCAAUUGUGAUCGACUCAAAUCAAAGCCAUCCAAUCACAUAGAAUCAGCCUCUUAUCUCUUGAUCAAAUUAGGAUUUCACUGUGGCCGUCCGAUCCCGAUCGACUCGCUCCAGAGCUGUCGGAUCUCACCUCCGCAGUUGCCGUCAGAUCUUCACCUCAAGCAACACUGACCAUUGGAUCAUACAAUCGACGUUGUCGUUGGAUUAAAGCAACGAUUGUAUCUCAGCUGUUGGAUGGUGCAAACUCCCUAGCCAUCAGAUAUCUCACCA